CCUACGGGUGGCAGCAGUGGGGAAUAUUGCGCAAUGGGCGCAAGCCUGACGCAGCGACGCCGCGUGUGGGAUGAAGGUCUUCGGAUCGUAAACCUCUGUCAGCAGGGAAGAACGGUCACUGUGCUAAUCAGCAGUGAAUUGACGGUACCUGCAAAGGAAGCACCGGCUAACUCCGUGCCAGCAGCCGCGGUAAUACGGAGGGUGCGAGCGUUAAUCGGAAUUACUGGGCGUAAAGCGCUCGUAGGCGGUAUGUCAAGUCAAGGGUGAAAUCCCCGCGCUUAACGUGGGAACUGCCUUUGAAACUGGUAAACUGGAGUGUUUGAGAGGAUAGUGGAAUUCCAGGUGUAGGAGUGAAAUGCGUAGAGAUCUGGAGGAACACCAGUGGCGAAGGCGACCAUCUGGCACAUAACUGACGCUGAGGUGCGAAAGCGUGGGUAGCAAACAGGAUUAGAUACCCCGGUAGUC
rnacentral:rRNA from 1 species